GCUCCGAUGGCAUAGUGGUUAGAGUGUCCGCCUCGGAUGCGGAAGGUCUGGGGUUCGAUCUCCGGUCGAGUCA